GACGAACGCUGGCGGCGUGCUUAACACAUGCAAGUCGAACGGUGAAGCGCUUUCCUUUUUGGUUGGUGUGGAUGAGUGGCGAACGGGUGAGUAACACGUGAGUAACCUGCCCCCUUCUUCUGGAUAACCGCAUGAAAGUGUGGCUAAUACGGGAUAUUCUGCGCCUGCUGCAUGGUGGGUGUGGGAAAGAUUGUGCCUUUGGGUGUUUUCGGUGGGGGAUGGGCUCGCGGCCUAUCAGCUUGUUGGUGGGGUGAUGGCCUACCAAGGCGGUGACGGGUAGCCGGGCUGAGAGGGUGGACGGUCACACUGGGACUGAGACACGGCCCAGAAUCCUACGGGAGGCAGCAGUGGGGAAUAUUGCACGAUGGGCGCAAGCCUGAUGCAGCGACGCCGCGUGAGGGAUGGAGGCCUUCGGGGUGUGAACCUCUUUCGGCAGUGAAGCAGGCCUGCUCCUUGUGGGUGGGUUGACGGUAGCUGGAUAAGAAGCGCCGGCUAACUACGUG
rnacentral:rRNA from 1 species